GAAUCUUCCACAAUGGACGAAAGCCUGAUCGAGCAAUGCCGCGUGCGCGAAGAAGGCUUUCGGAUCGUAAAGCUCUGUCGUACGGGACGAACACCUACGGGAUUAACCGCCCGUGCCAUGACGGUCCCUUAUGAGAACGCCACGGCUAACUACGUUCCAUCAGCCGCGGUAAUACGUAGGUGGCAAGCGUUGUCCGGAAUUAUUGGGCGUCAAGCGCGCGCAGGCGGUUCUUUAAGUCUGAUGUGAAAGCCCACGGCUCAACCGUGGAGGGUCAUUGGAAACUGGAGAACUUGAGUACAGAAGAGGAAAGCGGAAUUCCACGUGUAGCGGUGAAAUGCGUAGAGAUGUGGAGGAACACCAGUGGCGAAGGCGGCUUUCUGGUCUGUAACUGACGCUGAGGCGCGAAAGCGUGGGGAGCAAAC
rnacentral:rRNA from 1 species